rnacentral:SRP_RNA from 15 species
GCCGAGCUUUGUAACGUGGGCUUGUAACCCGAGUGGGGGCAACAAUGUGGUGGAAUGUUGGGUCCAUCUUGAUGGAUGGGCUUGAAGGGCUAAUGUUCUGGCCUGCCCUGUCCAAGCACAGAGUUGGGUCAAGUGGUCUAUACGAAAGUAUAGCCACUUGGCCUUUAGAGUGGGAUGGACUGCGUGAGGCUGGUUUCACAGAGCAACGACUAGUCCCCGCUCUGUGCAGUGGAAGGAUCACGGGCUAGUGCUCUUUGAGUCCUAACAAAAACCUGAUAGGUUGCCUAAUUAAACCAUCACUUUU